GCAGCGCAAUGUGUCUAAUACAUGGCGAAAACACGCCGUGCCAAACGUCAGCUUGUCGAGCUGUUGGGAACACACACGGAUGUCAAGGACUUGGAAUAUGAGAAGAACGAACGGAGGAAAACUUGAAAUGGUCAAAGUGGAAAUGAAGCAUACUAAAUGGCAUGUUUUUGGAAGGCAUAUGAAGGCAUGGAGUGUUGAUGGUACUCAGAAAGGGCAUCACUAAAUACGUGUUCAGAAGACGACCAAGCGAACAUCAAGGUUAUAUAUAUAUUUAAGUAUGCCUUUAAACAGACUGCUUGAGGAAUGCAGGAGAUGAAAGAACAAAGACACACUACAGAGGGACUGGAAUACAGAAGCUGGAGAGAUGGAGAGAGCUGGAAUAAAGCUUAAAAUCCAGCGGAUUCUUUGAGAGAUCUGGAGGGGAUCAUACUCACAUCCAACUCUGGCUGAAAGACAAGAAAUCCCAGAAUUCAAACCCACCUUUGGGCUAAUAGGACAAGAGCAGGAUGGUAAGACUAUAAUUUGUUUCAGACCGCUGAACACAAAUGGGCCAGAAACAAAUCCUCAUGUUACAACAGCCACCGUCACCCUCUUUAUUAGGUUGACUCAGAAUGUCAAAAAAUGGUGGUCUAGCUUUCAGGCUCUUGAGGGUGCUUUGCAGUCAAGCAAGGUGAUAAAGAGGAGGAAAAGGAGGGGAAUAAAUUCAACUCUCUCAUGCAAAAAAUCCUUCAUAGUCCCCCCGUAGGCAGAAAAGGAACAGAUCUUUAUCUUGUCUGGUCUCCUCGGCCACCAAAUCUCUCAUCUCUCAAAUCUAAAACAUGAGAAACAUAAUCCCUGCAGUUGCCCAACACUGACCUAAGAAACCACAACAGGGGUUAGUUUUCUCCAUCACGGAUCACAGGAGAACAACACUGUGGUCUAAAUGUUGAGCACCGGCGUCAGCAUCUGACCACAUCUGACGAACAGUAGGAAAAAGGCAACCCCAGAAAAAAUGGGAAGGGGGAGAAAGCCAACCCCCCACCUCCCUGCAAUAUAUUUAAAAACCCGCGAACCUCAAGCGUCUCAUCCAUCCGAGUGUACGGUGCAUUCUGGCAGUUUUUGUGGCAACUCUCUCAGCAGGAAUGUAAACAGAGCUCUCUGCAAUGUCUGCGUUGUGUCCCCAGUUUGAGAUAAUUUUCUAAACAGGGCGGCUGCCAAGAGCACUAAGUGUGAAGCUAUCAGGGAGAGAGGAGAGAUGCUCGGAGCAGAGCGUCUGAUUCAACUCUUCUUGUGGUUGUUACUUAAAGAAUUUGCAGGUAACCGUACAUUCCCUUCUCGUUCUAAGCCAGGCCGCCUGGUCGGACAAGCAGGUACGUACCUUGGGCCAUCCCGAGCUUCCAUCUAACAAGCAAGUGUUGAUCUAUAUCGAGGUUGCAGUGAGAUCUUGUAUGAUAGCCUGGGUUGAUUCAAAGUUCGCAAAAUUUCACUAACUUGCCUGAGAGCUCCUGUGAAUGAUAUAAGAACGCUGAUAUUUUCUUGCUUUCUUAGCAUUUAGUGGUGUUCCCCCUCAUCUAAUUGGGCUGGAUGAUUUGGUUUAUUUUACGUGCACAGUGAAAUAAAGCCAACGAAACAACAUUGCCAACAAAAACAUUGACUGAAGACGAGUCAACUUCUCCCUACCCUGAGCAACCAGUCGUGUUGUCCUCGGCUCCAGAGGCUCCUAACACACACUGCCUUCACCGUCUCCCUACAUGAUUCGAAGAGUGGCUCUAACUUCAGGACUAUUUCAAACUGAGAAGGCCUACCUCCGCUCCUGCUCUUUAGAACAUCUCAUCCCACACAAAUCUGGAGGGUAGAAUGUCCUGCUCUUGAAGAGAUUGAAGCCCCAAUAUCUCCAUAUUGAUCGGUUGUAGCGAUCAGCAAGUGGGUGUAUUUUGCACAGAGAGUCACUUCUGCCCACCUAAAGCAAACUGUGGUGAACCAAACGGGAGCUGAGCAAGGCCUGAGUAAGCAUUGCCAGAGCUUUCUCAUCAAAGAAACAUCCCUACUGCUUACACCAGCUGAUCUCUUAUGAGUCUUAUCAAAGUCGGGCAAAAUAUGGAGAUUAUAUAACAUUUCAGCUGUUUUUUGGGGUUUGGGAAAAAAGAAAUCAUUCUGAGGGAUUCAGAGGCGAUUUUAGAGGAAGAUGGAUAUGGCAACCCCAGGCCCCAUGUUGCCAGUCUGUCCUUGGUGGUGGGUUAAAUGCAGUGCAAAUUCCUGCAAGCCACUAUAAUGUAGUAUUGUGAGAAAGAUGUUUGACUUUGCACUCAUGUUCAAGUUGCCAUUUGAUCGGGAAGCCAUAAAUUGAUGACUCUGAGCCAAUCUCUCUCUCAGCUGAACCAACUUUACAGGGUGGUUGUAGGGUAAAAGGAGAGAAGACCCCCAUGUGUACUGUUGUGUACUCUCAAGGGAAAAAGCAGGAUAUCAUUGUAAUAAUAUAAUUUUUGCAGAAGUACAAAAGUUUAUAAAAUAUCCCAAGGUUUUGCAAACACGGAUUUUCCAACUAGAAACAUUACUUUCAGUGUGUUGAUUUUCCUUUCUAUGCACAGAGGACUAUGAAAGCUGCAUUAAUAAAAUA